GGCAUGUUAGCUUAAUUGGUAGAGCGUUGUGCUACGGACACAAAGAUUACAGGUUCGAAUCUUGUACAUGCUU
rnacentral:tRNA from 2 species